AGAGUUGAUCCCNGGGUCAGAUUGAACGCUGGCGGCAGGCCUAACACAUGCAAGUCGAGCGGAUGACGGGAGCUUGCUCCUUGAUUCAGCGGCGGACGGGUGAGUAAUGCCUAGGAAUCUGCCUGGUAGUGGGGGACAACGUUUCGAAAGGAACGCUAAUACCGCAUACGUCCUACGGGAGAAAGCAGGGGACCUUCGGGCCUUGCGCUAUCAGAUGAGCCUAGGUCGGAUUAGCUAGUUGGUGGGGUAAUGGCUCACCAAGGCGACGAUCCGUAACUGGUCUGAGAGGAUGAUCAGUCACACUGGAACUGAGACACGGUCCAGACUCCUACGGGAGGCAGCAGUGGGGAAUAUUGGACAAUGGGCGAAAGCCUGAUCCAGCCAUGCCGCGUGUGUGAAGAAGGUCUUCGGAUUGUAAAGCACUUUAAGUUGGGAGGAAGGGCAGUAAGUUAAUACCUUGCUGUUGACGUACAGCAGAUACCCG
rnacentral:rRNA from 1 species